UUGGAGGGCAAGUCUGGUGCCAGCAGCCGCGGUAAUUCCAGCUCCAAUAGCGUAUAUUAAAGUUGUUGCAGUUAAAAAGCUCGUAGUUGAAUUUCGGGAUCAAUGUUUCGGUCGUGCCGUUGGUAUGUACUGAUAUUAUUGAUUUCUCACCUUCUAAAGAACCGUAAUGCCAUUAAUUUGGUGUCACGGGGAAUUAGGACUGUUACCUUGAAAAAAUUAGAGUGUUUAAAGCAGGCUCACGCUUGAAUACAUUAGCAUGGAAUAAUGAAAUAGGACAUCCGAUUCUAUUUUGUUGGUUUCUAGGAUCGAUGUAAUGAUUAAUAGGGAUAGUUGGGGGCAUUAGUAUUCAAUUGUCAGAGGUGAAAUUCUUGGAUUUAUUGAAGACUAACUACUGCGAAAGCAUUUGCCAAGGAUGUUUUCAUUAAUCAAGAACGAAAGUUAGGGGAUCGAAGACGAUCAGAUACCGUCGUAGUCUUAACCAUAAACUAUGCCGACUAGGGAUCGGAUGAUGUUAAUUUUUUAAUGACUCAUUCGGCGCCUUACGGGAAAC
rnacentral:rRNA from 1 species